rnacentral:rRNA from 1 species
GACGAACGCUGGCGGCGUGCUUAACACAUGCAAGUCGAGCGGUAAGGCCCUUUCGGGGGUACACGAGCGGCGAACGGGUGAGUAACACGUGGGUGACCUGCCCUCAGCUCUGGGAUAAGCCUGGGAAACCGGGUCUAAUACCGGAUAUGACUCCAUGACGCAUGUUGUGGGGUGGAAAGCCUUGUGCGGCUGAGGAUGGGCCCGCGGCCUAUCAGCUUGUUGGUGGGGNGAUGGCCUACCAAGGCGACGACGGGUAGCCGGCCUGAGAGGGCGACCGGCCACACUGGGACUGAGACACGGCCCAGACUCCUACGGGAGGCAGCAGUGGGGAAUCUUGCGCAAUGGGCGAAAGCCUGACGCAGCGACGCCGCGUGAGGG